GCGGCGGCGGCGGCGGACGGCCCAGCCGGAGCGCGAGGGGCUCGGGGGGGGCGCGGCGGUUCGGGUCGCAGAGCCAGGGACCCCAGGACCCGGGAGGCGGCGCAGCCGGGGCCGCCGGAGGAGCGCGGGUCACCCGGCGGCGGCGAGAUGCCGCUCGCCCAGCUCAAGGAGCCCUGGCCGCUCAUGGAGCUAGUGCCGCUGGACCCGGAGAAUGGACAGACCUCAGGGGAAGAAGCUGGACUUCAGCCGUCCAAGGAUGAGGGCGUCCUCAAGGAGAUCUCCAUCACGCACCACGUCAAGGCUGGCUCUGAGAAGGCUGAUCCAUCCCAUUUCGAGCUCCUCAAGGUUCUGGGCCAGGGAUCCUUUGGCAAAGUCUUCCUGGUGCGGAAAGUCACCCGGCCUGACAGUGGGCACCUGUAUGCUAUGAAGGUGCUGAAGAAGGCAACGCUGAAAGUACGUGACCGCGUCCGGACCAAGAUGGAGAGAGACAUCCUGGCUGAUGUAAAUCACCCAUUCGUGGUGAAGCUGCACUAUGGUAAAGCUUCUGGCCCUGCCUGAGCU
rnacentral:sRNA from 1 species